CUGGCUCAAGACGAACGCGGCGGCGUGCCUAAUACAUGCAAGUUGAGCGCUGAAGGUUGGUACUUGUACCAACUGGAUGAGCAGCGAACGGGUGAGUAACGCGUGGGGAAUCUGCCUUUGAGCGGGGGACAACAUUUGGAAACGAAUGCUAAUACCGCAUAAAAACUUUAAACACAAGUUUUAAGUUUGAAAGAUGCAAUUGCAUCACUCAAAGAUGAUCCCGCGUUGUAUUAGCUAGUUGGUGAGGUAAAGGCUCACCAAGGCGAUGAUACAUAGCCGACCUGAGAGGGUGAUCGGCCACAUUGGGACUGAGACACGGCCCAAACUCCUACGGGAGGCAGCAGUAGGGAAUCUUCGGCAAUGGACGAAAGUCUGACCGAGCAACGCCGCGUGAGUGAAGAAGGUUUUCGGAUCGUAAAACUAGGUUGGUAGAGAAGAACGUUGGUGAGAGUGGAAAGCUCGUCAAGGAC
rnacentral:rRNA from 1 species